AGGGGAAAUAUAAAUGUCUACAAAAUCAUAACAACAACAUUGUCGUGCUGCAACAUGAACGCUUUGGCGGGAGGUAAAAUUAGACAUCGAGAAUGGCGAAAGCUGUUGAAGAAAAGGCGACGCAAAGCUGUACGCCAAAAAGCCGCACGGGAGCAAGAACGAAUAGAAGCCGAAGAGGAAGCUCGGAAGUUGGCCUGUCCAGAGUAUCAGUUGUAUCUUGCUGAGAAGGAGCGUGAGGAUGAGAUUGCAGCCAACCGCGAGGAACUAGAGCAUGCACUUCAGAAAGCAAUAUGGUUAGAGAAGGAACGUGACGCUCAGUUAAGAUUCGAGGAGCAACGCAAAAGCGAAGAGGCUAAGGAACGCAAGGAACAUGAAAAGAGGGAAAAGAUACGGAAAGAGUUUGAAGAACGUGAAACUAAGGCAAAACAAGCCAAAGCAGAGCGACUCAAGCAGCAGGAACUUGUACGUCGAAUGUUGCACGAGCGACAUGUGAAAUUGCAAGAAUUUGCAGUGACCGGCGCUGAUGAGUACUUGAACGAACUGCAAACCACGCACAACACACGGCACGAGGCGGAGGAUUGUAAGUUCUUCCUGAAGACAGGCGCAUGUCGGCACGGUUAUAGAUGCUGUGGAAACCACCCUACACCUGGUGUGAGUAAGGUCAUCUUGAUUCCCAGCUUCUUCAGUCACCCGGCCCUGGAACAGAAGGUGCACGCCGAGUACGGCCAGGAUGUUCGUCUCGAGUUUGAUGAAGACGACUUGACGAAUUGCUUUAACGAGUUUUUCCGAGACAUCAUCGUCGAGUUUGAAAUGUUUGGUAAAAUCCAACACAUAUUUGUCUGUAGAAAUUCUGGACCUCACUUAAGGGGCAGUGUGUACAUAGAAUAUGAAUUGUUGAGGAAUGCAGCUGCCGCAUAUUUGCGAAUGAACGGAAGAUUCUACGCCAAAAAACAACUUCACGUGGAGUUCAGGAAUCCGAUCGUGUGGCCAAUGGCGGUUUGCGGUAAUUAAUCGUACAAAGUUGUUUUUGAACAAAAAUUGUUCAAUCUUGUAAUGUUAAAACACUGUCGAAUCGAAAUUGCAGGACUAUUCGAGCUCAAGCGAUGUCAUAAGGGGGCAGGAUGCAAUUUUUUGCACAUUCUCAAAAAUCCGGACCACCGUUACGUGUACAACCAUUUUCAGGAAAGCCGAUUAAUGCGGAAGGAAGAAGUUGUACAGAUUGCUACGCCGCUAGUGGAAAAGACUUGGGAUGAAAUAACAUCCAAUGGUGGACAAUCCACGAGAAAAGCUGCACAAUGGCGAUGGUCUGAAUCGCCAGAGAUGGAAGUCGAAAAAUCAGGCCCUGAGAAGCAAGAGAAAAGCAAGCACCGUGAUGAAGGAAAAAGUAAAAAUGCAACUGAACGAUCUCCAGAACAAUUAAGCCGUAGCUCCAUACGGCACCAACGGAACAGAAGCCGUAGUCGAAGUUCUACGCCUAAACACAAUCACAAUCGAACUCGCAUUCGUAGCCGAAGUCGGAGUCGAAGUCGGAAUCGAAGUCGUAGUCGUUCUCAUUAUCGUAAACAUGGUGCUAAAGAUGUUCACCGCCCCAAAGAGCACAGUUCCAGACAUAGGAAUGACGAUGAUAAAAAUCACCACCGCAAACGACCAAGUCCACGACGGUCACAUGACCGCAGUCCCUCGCGAAAAAGAUCUCAUAAAACAAAAACAAAAGCGAGGGACUAAGGACACAUCUAUGCUACGCUCCCUAUAAUGUGUAAUAUGCAACGCAACAACGCUGCAACCUGUGUGCUACCGCCACCUAGCUUCCGAGAAACCGCCCGAUUGCCUUAAAAGAAUUCGCGCACCACAUACAAAGACAAUAGUGAGUACCUGAUAUUUUACCAUCUUUUUGUACAAAAAAAAGCUGUGAAUUAUUAAUUUAUUAACAAAAAAUCACAGAUUCAAUCCUCCUUCCGAAAAUAAACAGUCCACUGGGAAGGACCACAACAAUUAUUUCAAUUUUAACUACCAACAAGGCGUAUAUACAGGUGGAGGUGCGUUUGAUGUGCUGACCAACUUUUUCCUGUGCUUCCACUUUAACCGGUCCUGCCAUGUGAAGACCGGCGCCGGUAUUGCCUCGGCUACCGAACCGUUGAACAACUUCGCCCCGUGCAAAAUAAUCCUCGGCGCUAAGGACUUGGAAGAUUCAAAGUCAACAGUUUGGAGCGUUAACAACAACGGCGUUAACAAGUUUUAGAAAGUUUAAGAUAACCAUUUGUUACAUUUUCGUAGAGGUGUGACAACGAGGCAAGUCAAGCCUCUAGGUUCAUGUCUAGCUGUUUUACUGCAAUCAGGAAGUAUAAGGAGGAACAGGAAUAAUGCCAUUUUGGUGACGGCGCGAAUCAUUCAGCUAUUCUCUUUCAUAGCGCAGAUAGGUUCCCCGUGACUUUACAACGAUAUUGUUAUCUAAGUCAAUAUCAAUUGAAGCAAUAUUCAUAGAGAACCAUUAGGAUACAUUUGCCGGGACCACACCCCUUUUGACAAGCUUGGAACGUAUAACAAAAAGAAUCGCACACCUGGAUGCAGCCCGCUAAACUAUCACCGAGGCAAUACUUUUACACCGCGGGUUUUUUAUGUGGGAACGGGAGAUACGGCCUACGUCGGGGCCCGCAGCCGAUCAUUUUCAUGCGCGAAAGCGAGCCUUUAUCCGAUACCAACAAAACAAUACACAGCCUGUACUGUAAAGAUGAAGCAGUUUCUAAAGUUUUAAAUGAUCAAUAUUAUGUGUUAAUUGCUUUAACCAACCGAAAAAUAUAAACCAAAGAAAUAAAUUUAUUUAAUUCAUAU